GACGAACGCUGGCGGCGUGCUUAACACAUGCAAGUCGAACGGAAAGGCCCUGCUUGCCGGGUACUCGAGUGGCGAACGGGUGAGUAACACGUGGGUGAUCUGCCCUGCACUUCGGGAUAAGCCUGGGAAACUGGGUCUAAUACCGGAUAGGAGCCAUUUUUAGUGUGAUGGUUGGAAAGUUUUUUCGGUGUAGGAUGAGCUCGCGGCCUAUCAGCUUGUUGGUGGGGUAAUGGCCUACCAAGGCGGCGACGGGUAGCCGGCCUGAGAGGGUGGACGGCCACAUUGGGACUGAGAGGCGGCCCAGACGCCGACGGGAGGCAGCAGUGGGGAAUAUUGCACAAUGGGCGCAAGCCUGAUGCAGCGACGCCGCGUGGGGGAUGACGGCCUUCGGGUUGUAAACUCCUUUCGCUAGGGACGAAGCUGUUUGUGACGGUACCUAGAUAAGAAGCACCGGCUAACUACGUG
rnacentral:rRNA from 1 species